GACGAACGCUGGCGGCGUGCUUAACACAUGCAAGUCGAACGGAAAGGCCCUGCUUUUGUUGGGUGCUCGAUUGGCGAACGCGUGAGUAACACGUGAGUAACCUGCCCCUGACUUUGGGAGAACUUCAGGGAACUGGGGCUAAUACCGGAUAGGAUCUUCUGCUGCAUGGGGGGGGUUGGAAAGUUUGGGCGGUUGGGGAUGGACUCGCAGCUUAUCAGCUGGUUGGGGUGGUAGUGGCUUACCAAGGGUUCGACGGGUAGCCGGCCUGAGAGGGUGACCGGCCACAUUAGGACUGAGGGACGGAGCAGACUCCUACGGGCGGCAGCAGUGGAGAAUAUGGCACAAUGGGCGGACGCCUGAUGUAGAAACGUCGCGUGCGGGAUGCCGGCUUUCGGGUUGUGAACCGCUUUCGCCUGUGACGAAGCGUGAGUGACGGUAAUGGGUAAAGAAGCAACGGCUAACUACGUG
rnacentral:rRNA from 1 species